UGGACGUUUGCAUUGUGAUCAGCCCUGUCGACAUUUAAACAGUGCCUACUAUAAGUGCGAAAGCAAUACUUUGCGAAAGACUAUCCCCAGUGGCCGAAGGACAUGGUCAGAUCAGUAGCCUAGGGUCGUGUGUACUCCUUGAUAAAUUUAGUGCCCUUGCCACUAUUGCUCUUAUCCAAGAUAUGCUUUCUAUUCAUGACAUUUUUGCCCAAGCUCUGAUUGAUACAAGUGAUACCCAAUGUUUUAUUUCUUGUUCAUUUACUUGUAAAUUAGAUAUUAGACCUGAACCUUUAAAUGAAGUGUUAGUAGU
rnacentral:lncRNA from 1 species